rnacentral:lncRNA from 1 species
GUUCCUAUGCUACAGACUUAGGUUCAAAUCUAUAGGAUCACACGCGUUAGAAGAUUUGGUCAGAUCUGAUGACUGGAGAGUCCAAUUAGAUUGUGACUUUGGUGAGGAAUCCUACUGAGACUGGGACUCUGAAAGAGAGUCUCAUUGGGACUAAGACUCUAUUAUUAAUAGAAAAUUAAUUAGUAAUUGACUUAAUUUGAUUGAGUAAAAAGCUUUGGAUCAAUUCUAAUUGAAUUAGAUUCAAUUCGACUU